UAAGCAUAUCAAUAAGCGGAGGAAAAGAAACUAACAAGGAUUCCCCUAGUAGCGGCGAGCGAAGCGGGAAGAGCUCAAAUUUAUAAUCUGGCACCUUCGGUGUCCGAGUUGUAAUCUCUAGAAAUGUUUUCCGCGUUGGACCGCACACAAGUCUGUUGGAAUACAGCGGCAUAGUGGUGAGACCCCCGUAUAUGGUGCGGACGCCCAGCGCUUUGUGAUACAUUUUCGAAGAGUCGAGUUGUUUGGGAAUGCAGCUCAAAUUGGGUGGUAAAUUCCAUCUAAAGCUAAAUAUUGGCGAGAGACCGAUAGCGAACAAGUACCGUGAGGGAAAGAUGAAAAGCACUUUGGAAAGAGAGUUAACAGUACGUGAAAUUGUUGGAAGGGAAACGCUUGAAGUCAGACUUGCUUGCCGAGCAAUCGGUUUGCAGGCCAGCAUCAGUUUUCCGGGAUGGAUAAUGGUAGAGAGAAGGUAGCAGUUUCGGCUGUGUUAUAGCUCUCUGCUGGAUACAUCUUGGGGGACUGAGGAACGCAGUGUGCCUUUGGCGGGGGUUUCGACCUCUUCACACUUAGGAUGCUGGUGGAAUGGCUUUAAACGACCCGUCUUGAAACACGGACCAAGGAGUCUAACAUGCUUGCGAGUAUUUGGGUGUCAAACCCGGAUGCGUAAUGAAAGUGAAUGGAGGUGGGAACCGCAAGGUGCACCAUCGACCGAUCUGGAUUUUUAAUGAUGGAUUUGAGUAAGAGCACGUAUGUUGGGACCCGAAAGAUGGUGAACUAUGCCUGAAUAGGGCGAAGCCAGAGGAAACUCUGGUGGAGGCUCGUAGCGGUUCUGACGUGCAAAUCGAUCGUCAAAUUUGGGUAUAGGGGCGAAAGACUAAUCGAACCAUCUAGUAGCUGGUUCCUGCCGAA
rnacentral:rRNA from 1 species